GUGACAGACUCUCAAUGUAGCCCCAGAUGGUCUGAAACUUACUAUGUAGACCAGGCUAUCCUGGAACUCAUAGAGAUCUAUCUAUCCUGAGUGCUGGGAUUCAAGGGCCUAUAUUGAGCCUUUUGAUGGUGGAUCAUCCUAUGUUCCCACCAGGUGAGUCUGCCCACUGUCGAGAUCGAUUGCAGCCUGGCUGAGUACAUUGACAUGAUCUGUGCCAUCCUGGACAUUCCUUUCUACAAGAGCCGGAUUCAGUCCCUCCACCUGCUCUUUUCCCUCUACUCAGAAUUCAAGAAUUCCCAGCAUUUUAAAGCUCUUGCUGAAGGCAAGAAAACAUUCACUCCUCCAUCCAACUCUGCCUCCCAGGCUGGAGAUGCGGAGACACUGAGUUUCCUCUGAGCCUCCUCUUGGGGCUGUGCUUCAAAGUCAGGUGAACAUGGUCUCUGUUGGCAGCUUAACAUCUCCCUGCUCCACAGUUGGGCCCUGGCCACACAAGUCCUGCUGCCUUGUCUUUGAGAGCAGGGCACACCUGGGCUACACCUGCCUCCCUUUGCCUUUCCCGAGGAAGGAUGUGUCCACACUGCUGUGGGCAGCUGAGUUGGAAGAACUGGGACUCCGAGAGCCUCAGAACUUCCAGAGACACACAGACUGUUCUGUCAGGUUAUGAUGGAAUAUAUAUUGGUUUUC
rnacentral:lncRNA from 1 species